rnacentral:tRNA from 1 species
CAAAUUAGAGCUUGAAUAAGUUUUUUACUUACAUUAAAAAGAUAGUCCUUGGACUUGAUUUGA